rnacentral:rRNA from 1 species
UACAGGGGGGCAAGCGUUGUUCGGAAUUACUGGGCGUAAAGGGCUCGUAGGCGGCCAACUAAGUCCGACGUGAAAUCCCAAAGCUUAACUUUGGAACUGCGUCGGAUACUGGAUGGCUUGAAUUCGGGAGAGGGAUGCAGAAUUCCAGGUGUAGCGGUGAAAGUGACGUAGAUAUCUGGAGGAAUACCGGUGGCGAAGGCGGCAUCCUGGACCGACAUUGACGCUGAGGAGCGAAAGCUAGGGAGCAACGGG